UAUUGAUUUUAUAAAAAUUCUUGUUCUGUUCUUAAUUUUUGUUAUCGCCAUUUGUAUAAAGAAUCACAAAUUGAACCGUCGGGUGAUGGCGUACCUUUUGUAUAAUGAGCCAACGAGUUAUUAUUGCAUGCAAGCCUAAGCCGUUAGGUGUAAGCGUAGGGAAACCAAGUCUGAAUAGGGCGAGGGCUUGUGAAUUAAUAUUUUUUGAGAAAACAGUGCGAUAGAAAUUAUUAAGAUGUGAUUAAAACGAACGAAAAUGUAUAAAAUACAUUGAGAGAGUUUUAAGAAACAGGUUGAUAAUUUGGAUUGCACCCGCAGGGCGACAAAAUUUUGCCAAAUUAACUGCGUAUUUAUUCUUGUGUGUAUGUCAUACACACUGCGAUUAAAUGCUUGUUCCUUUGCCAAACUUGUAUGUCGCUGUUUUUCAAAGAAAUAUUAAUUCACAAGCCAUGAGUAUGCAGUAAUAGACCCGAAGCGGGGUGAUCUAGGUAUGGGCAGGCUGAAGGCGGCGUAACAGUCGCUGGAGGGCCGAACGCACCAAUAUGGCAACAUUGGGCGAUGACCUGUGUCUAGGGGUGAAAAGCCAAUCGAACCCCGUUAUAGCUGGUUCUCCGCGAAAACUAUAGAGGUAGUGUCUUGUGUGUUCCUUGUUGGGGGUAAAGCACUGAAAUGGCUAGGGGGAGUAAAAUCUUACCAACCCAUAUCAAACUCUGAAUACCAGCAAGUCAUAGCACAGGAAACAGUCCAUCGGUGCUAAGGUCGGUGGACGAGAGGGCAACAGCCCAGACCGCCAACUAAGGUCCCAAAAUAAUGAUUAAGUGGGAAAGUGAGUCGAGAUUCCAAAACAACCAGGAUGUUGGCUUGGAAGCAGCCAUCGUUUAAAGAAAGCGUAAUAGCUCACUGGUCUAUUAGAGUUUCGGCAACGAAAAUGUAACGGGGCUAAAAUCAUUUACCGAAGUUGCGGGUGGCGCGUAAGCGUCGCGGUAGCGGAGCAUUCUGUAGGCCUGUGAAGCGUAAGGCGUGAGCCAGCGUGGAGGUAUCAGAAGCGCGAAUGUUGGCAUGAGUAGCAGCUAAUCAAGGUGAGAAACCUUGACGCCGUAAGAGCAAGGGUUCCUAUCCAAUGUUAAUCAGGGUAGGGUGAGUCGACCCCUAAGGCGAGGCCGAAAGGCGUAGUCGAUGGGAACACGGUUAAUAUUCCGUGACCUGUGCGAGAGUGACGAAUUUGGUAAAUUGUUGUGCCUUAUUGGAUUGGCGCGGCAGUGAACAAGUUCCAGGAAAUAGCCCGCACGUAUAGAUCGUACCCAGAACCAACACAGGUGCUCGAGUCGAGUAGACUAAGGCGGUUGAGAGAACUAUGUUGAAGGAACUAGGCAAAAUGCAUCCGUAACUUCGGAAUAAGGAUGACCUGUUUCAAGGCAACUUUAAUCAGGUGACACAAACCAGGUGGGGGCGACUGUUUACUUAAAACCCAGGUCUCUGCUAAAUCGUAUAAGAUGAUGUAUAGGGACUGACGCCUGCCCAGUGACGGAAGGUUAAGCAGAGGUGUGCAAGCAUUGAUGUGAAGCCCCGUUAAACGGCGGCCGUAACUCUAACGGUCC
rnacentral:rRNA from 1 species